rnacentral:rRNA from 1 species
CCUACGGGUGGCUGCAGUGAGGAAUAUUGGUCAAUGGGCGCGAGCCUGAACCAGCCAAGUAGCGUGAAGGAUGACUGCCCUACGGGUUGUAAACUUCUUUUAUAAAGGAAUAAAGUGAGGCACGUGUGCCUGUUUGUAUGUACUUUAUGAAUAAGGAUCGGCUAACUCCGUGCCAGCAGCCGCGGUAAUACGGAGGAUACGAGCGUUAUCCGGAUUUAUUGGGUUUAAAGGGAGCGGAGAUGGGUUGUUAAGUCAGUUGUGAAAGUUUGCGGCUCAACCGUAAAAUGGCAAUUGAUACUGGCAGGCUUGAGUACAGUUGAGGUAGGCGGAAUUCGGGGUGUAGCGGUGAAAUGCUUAGAUAUCGCGAAGAACCCCGAUUGCGAAGGCAGCUUACUAAACUGACACUGACAUUGAUGCACGAAUGUGUGGGUAUCAAACAGGAUUAGAUACCCUGGUAGUC